AUCCCACCACUCCAAUCAAUGACAUGAUUUUUAGCAUCAUCGCGUCUUAU
rnacentral:tRNA from 1 species